AGUGAACGCUGGCGGUAGGCCUAACACAUGCAAGUCGAACGGCAGCACAGUAAGAGCUUGCUCUUACGGGUGGCGAGUGGCGGACGGGUGAGGAAUACAUCGGAAUCUACUUUUUCGUGGGGGAUAACGUAGGGAAACUUACGCUAAUACCGCAUACGACCUACGGGUGAAAGCAGGGGAUCUUCGGACCUUGCGCGAUUGAAUGAGCCGAUGUCGGAUUAACUAGUUGGCGGGGUAAAGGCCCACCAAGGCGACGAUCCGUAGCUGGUCUGAGAGGAUGAUCAGCCACACUGGAACUGAGACACGGUCCAGACUCCUACGGGAGGCAGCAGUGGGGAAUAUUGGACAAUGGGCGCAAGCCUGAUCCAGCCAUACCGCGUGGGUGAAGAAGGCCUUCGGGUUGUAAAGCCCUUUUGUUGGGAAAGAAAAGCAGCAGGUUAAUACCCCGCUGUUCUGACGGUACCUAAAGAAUAAGCACCGGCUAACUUCGUG
rnacentral:rRNA from 1 species